UACGGAGGAUGCGAACGUUGUCCGGAUUUACUGGGUUUAAAGGGUGCGUAGGCGGGUGGAUAAGCCAGAGUUGAAAGGAAGUCGCUCAACGAUUGUAAGGCUUUGAUACUGUUCAUCUUGAGUGUAGAGGAGCCAGAUGGAAUGGGUGGAGUAGGGGUGAAAUGCAUAGAUACCAUCCAGAACACCGAUUGCCGAGGCAUUCUGCUACACUACAACUGACGCUGAGGCACGAAAGCGUGGGGAUCACACAGG
rnacentral:rRNA from 1 species